AUUUCUCAUUAGGAUAUAUAAUCAUUGAGAUGUGAAGUUUGGACGAAUCAAAUCAAUGAGUUGGGAUCCCCAGCUCCAUGACUUCAAUACUUUCUCUAACGGUGGGAUCGUGACGGCAGCUUCAGCGCACACGGAGAUUGCGCGAAACAGCAUGCCCCCCCCUCUGCUGGCCACGCCUCUCCACAGCCUCGGGCCUUACCUCCGGACCGCUGGUGACGGCAAAGGCAAAAACGAGGAGCGUGAUGAGCAUUACGCCGGCAUGGCGAAGAGGUACAAAGCAAGGAGCUGGCGGCGGCUCCAUCAUGCGCCGACGAAGCCUGGCAGGAGGAUGAGACCGCCCAGGAUGGACGGGACACGCGCGCGUAAGCGAACCAGGUCCCCGAGGCUUACGGGGACGGUGCACAUGCCAGUGUCUGGUAUGUUGUUUCUCACUGCUCACCCCACCCAUGGCUGGAUGCUCAAGCUGUGCCGCCGCUGCUUUCCAUAUGCUUGUGUUGUUUCUGUGUCUGCUGUGGGUUCAGCGCGGAUCUGAAGGCUUCCUUCAUAGAUGAUGGAUGAUGUGAUGCUGAAUGCGAGGCUAAGAUACAACCUGAGAGACAUGAGCUACUAAUAACAUUGCCUUCUUGGAGUAAUAUUGUUUUAAAAAAAGGAGUUCAAUGAUUUGUAUUACCAGCUUCGUCAUGGAAGGAAUGGACCGCUACUUGCCGAAUAUAAUCCAGGAUGAUUCUCAUGCAUCCUCAGAUGCCUGCUCAUUGUCAGCUUGCAUGUGUACAUGGGACAAAGUCAGUUUUUAUCUGACAAAGGUAUCGCAGAGUGCUUUAUUUCUGAUACAGCUUCAGCGCACACAGAGAUUGGGCGAAACAGCACGCCCCCCCCUCUGCUGGCCACGCCUCUCCGCAGCCUCGGGCCUCACCUCCGGACCGCUGGUGAUGGCAAAGGCAAAAAUGAGGAGCGUGAUGAGCAUUACGCCGGCAUGGCGAAGAGGUACAAAGCAAGGAGCUGGCGGCGGCUCCAUCAUGCGCCGAUGAAGCCUGCCAGGAGGAUGAGACCGCCCAGGAUGGACAGGCCACGUGCGCGUAAGCGAACCAGAUCCCCGAGGCUUACGGGGACGGCGCACAUGCUAGUGUCCGGUAUGUUGUUUCUCACGGCUCACCCCACCCAUGGCUGGAUGCUCAAGCUGUGCCGCCGCUGCUUUCCAUAUGCUUGUGUUGUUUCUGUGUCUGCUGUGGGUUCAGCGUGGAUCUGAAGGCUUCCUUCAUGGAUGAUGGAUGAUGUGAUGCUGAAUGCGAGGCUAAGAUACAACUUGAGGUACAGGAGCUAUUUAUACAUUGUCACUUCCCGCUUCGUCAUGGAAGGAAUGGACCGCUACUUGCCGAAUAUAAUCCAGGAUGAUUCUCAUGCAUCCUCAGAUGCCUGCUCAUUGUCAGCUUGCAUGUGUACAUGGGACAAAGUCAGUUUUUAUCUGACAAAGGUAUCGCAGAGUGCUUUAUUUCUGAUACAGCUUCAGCGCACACAGAGAUUGGGCGAAACAGCACGCCCCCCCCUCUGCUGGCCACGCCUCUCCGCAGCCUCGGGCCUCACCUCCGGACCGCUAGUGAUGGCAAAGGCAAAAAUGAGGAGCGUGAUGAGCAUUACGCCGGCAUGGCGAAGAGGUACAAAGCAAGGAGCUGGCGGUGGGUCCAUCAUGCGACGAUGAAGCCUACCAGGAGGAUGAGACCGCCCAGGAUGGACGGGCCACGCGCGCGUAAGCGAACCAGAUCCCCGAGGCUUACGGGGACGGCGCACAUGCUACUGUCCGGUAUGUUGUUUCUCACGGCUCACCCCACCCAUGGCUGGAUGCUCAAGCUGUGCCGCCGCUGCUUUCCAUAUGCUUGUGUUGUUUCUGUGUCUGCUGUGGGUUCAGCGUGGAUCUGAAGGCUUCCUUCAUGGAUGAUGGAUGAUGUGAUGCUGAAUGCGAGGCUAAGAUACAACUUGAGGUACAGGAGCUAUUUAUACAUUGUCACUUCCCGCUUCGUCAUGGAAGGAAUGGACCGCUACUUGCCGAAUAUAAUCCAGGAUGAUUCUCAUGCAUCCUCAGAUGCCUGCUCAUUGUCAGCUUGCAUGUGUACAUGGGACAAAGUCAGUUUUUAUCUGACAAAGGUAUCGCAGAGUGCUUUAUUUCUGAUACAGCUUCAGCGCACACAGAGAUUGGGCGAAACAGCACGCCCCCCCCUCUGCUGGCCACGCCUCUCCGCAGCCUCGGGCCUCACCUCCGGACAGCUAGUGAUGGCAAAGGCAAAAAUGAGGAGCGUGAUGAGCAUUACGCCGGCAUGGCGAAGAGGUACAAAGCAAGGAGCUGGCGGUGGCUCCAUCAAGCGACGAUGAAGCCUACCAGGAGGAUGAGACCGCCCACGAUGGACGGGCCACGCGCGCGUAAGCGAACCAGAUCCCCGAGGCUUACGGGGACGGCGCACAUGCUAGUGUCCGGUAUGUUGUUUCUCACGGCUCACCCCACCCAUGGCUGGAUGCUCAAGCUGUGCCGCCGCUGCUUUCCAUAUGCUUGUGUUGUUUCUGUGUCUGCUGUGGGUUCAGCGUGGAUCUGAAGGCUUCCUUCAUGGAUGAUGGAUGAUGUGAUGCUGAAUGCGAGGCUAAGAUACAACUUGAGGUACAGGAGCUAUUUAUACAUUGUCACUUCCCGCUUCGUCAUGGAAGGAAUGGACCGCUACUUGCCGAAUAUAAUCCAGGAUGAUUCUCAUGCAUCCUCAGAUGCCUGCUCAUUGUCAGCUUGCAUGUGUACAUGGGACAAAGUCAGUUUUUAUCUGACAAAGGUAUCGCAGAGUGCUUUAUUUCUGAUACAGCUUCAACGCACACGGAGAUUGGGCGAAACAGCACGCCCCCCCCCCUCUGCUAGCCACGCCUCUCCGCAGCCUCGGGCCUCACCUCCGGACCGCUGGUGACGGCAAAGGCAAAAACGAGGAGCGUGAUGAGCAUUACGCCGGCAUGGCGAAGAGGUACAAAGCAAGGAGCUGGCGGCGGCUCCAUCAUGCGCCGACGAAGCCUGCCAGGAGGAUGAGACCGCCCAGGAUGGACGGGCCACACGCGCGUAAGUGAACCAGAUCCCUGAGGCUUACGGGGACGGCGCACAUGCCAGUGUCCGGCUUCCUUCAUGGAUGAUGGAUGAUGUGAUGCUGAAUGCGAGGCUAAGAUACAACCUGAGAGACAUGAGCUACUAAUAACAUUGCCUUCUUGGAGUAAUAUUGUUUAAAAAAAAGGAGUUCAAUGAUCUGUAUUACCAGCUUCGUCAUGGAAGGAAUGGACGGCUACUUGCCAAAUAUAAUCCAGGAUGAUUAUCAUGCAUCCUCAGAUGCCUGCUCAUUGUCAGCUUGCAUGUGUACAUGGGACAAAGUCAGUUUUUAUCUGACAAAGAUAUCGGAGAGUGCUUUAUUUCUGAUACAGCUUCAGCGCACACGGAGAUGGGGCGAAACAGCACGCCCCCCCUCUUGUGCUGGCCACGCCUCUCCGGAUCCUCGGGCCUCACCUCCGGACCGCUGCUGACGGCAAAGGCAAAAACGAGGAGCGUGAUGAGCAUUUCGCCGGCGUGGCGAAGAGGUACAAAGCAAGGAGCUGGCGGCGGCUCCAUCAUGCGCCGACGAAUCCUGCCAGGAGGAUGAGACCACCCAGGAUGGAGGGGCCACACGCGCGUAAGCGAACCAGAUCCCCGAGGCUUACGGGGACGGCUCACAUGCCAAUGUCCGGUAUGUUGUUUCUCAUGGCUCACCCCACCCAUGGCUGGAUGCUCAAGCUGUGCCGCCGCUGCUUUCCAUAUGCUUGUGUUGUUUCUGUGUCUACUGUGGGUUCAGGGCGGAUCUGAAGGCUUCCUUCAUGGAUGAUGGAUGAUGUGAUGCUGAAUGCGAGGCUAAGAUACAGCCUGAGCUUCGUCAUGGAGGAAUGGACGGCUACUUGCCAAAUAUAAUCCAGGAUGAUUAUCAUGCAUCCUCAGAUGCCUGCUCAUUGCCAGCUUGCAUGUGUACAUGGGACAAAGUCAGUUUUUAUCUGACAAAGAUAUCGCAGAGUGCUUUAUUUCUAAUACAGCUUCAGCGCACACGGAGAUUGGGCGAAACAGCACCCCCCCUCUGCUGGCCAUGCCUCUCCGCAACCUCGGGCCUCACCUCCGGACCGCUGGUGACGGCAAAGGCAAAAACGAGGAGCGUGAUGAGCAUUACGCCAGCAUGGCGAAGAGGUACAAAGCAAGGAGCUGGCGGCGGCUCCAUCGCCGACGAAGCCUGCCAGGAGGAUGAGACCGCCCAGGAUGGACGGGCCACGCGCGCGUAAGCAAACCAGAUCCCCAAGGCUUACGGGGACGGCGCACAUGCCAGUGUCCGGUAUGUUGUUUCUCACGGCUCACCCCACCCAUGGUUGGAUGCUCAAGUUGUGCCGCCGCUGCUUUCCAUAUGCUUGUGUUCUUUCUGUGUCUGUUGUGGGUUCUGCACGAAUCUGAAGGCUUCCUUCAUGGAUGAUGGUUGAUGUGAUGCUAAAUGCGAGGCUAAGAUACAAACUGAGGUACAGGAGCUAUUUAUACAUUGUCACUUCCCAGUCAGUCAUUGCAGUCAUUAAUCUUGUUUUAGUCAUCCAUUAUGUAGAGACAUGAGCUACUAAUAACAUUGCCUUCUUGGAGUAAUAUUGUUUAAAAAAAAGGUGCUCAAUGAUCUGUAUUACCAGCUUUGUCAUGGAAGGAAUGGACGGCUACUUGCCAAAUAUAAUCUAGGAUGAUUAUCAUGCAUCCUUAGAUGCCUGCUCAUUGUCAGCUUGCAUGUAUGCAUGGGACAAAGUCAGUUUUUGUCUGGCAAAGGUAUCGCAGAGUGCUUUAUUUCUGAUACAGCUUCAGCGCACACAGAGAUUGGGCGAAACAGCACGCCCCCCCUCUGCUGGCCACGCCUCUCCGCAGCCUCGGGCCUCACCUCCGGACAGCUGGUGACGGCAAAGGCAAAAACGAGGAGCGUGAUGAGCAUUACGCCGACAUGGCGAAGAGGUACAAAGCAAGGAGCUGGCGGCGGCUCCAUCAUGCGCCGACGAAGCCUGCCAGGAGGAUGAGACCGCCCAGGAUGGACGGGCCACGCGCGCGUAAGCGAACCAGAUCCCCGAGGCUUACGGGGACGACGCACAUGCCAGUGUCCGGUAUGUUGUUUCUCAUGGCUCACCCCACCCAUGGCUGGAUGCUCAAGCUAUGCCGCCGCUGCUUUCCAUAUGCUUGUGUUGUUUCUGUGUCUUCUGUGGGUUCAGCGCGGAUCUGAAGGCUUCAUUCAUGGAUGAUGGAUGAUGUGAUGCUGAAUGCGAGGCUAAGAUACAACCUGAGGAGUCCAAUGAUCUGUAUUACCAGCUUCUUCAUGGAAGGAAUGGAUGGCUACUUGCCAAAUAUAAUCCAGGAUGAUUAUCAUGCAUCCUUAGAUGCCUGCUCAUUGUCAGCUUGCAUGUGUACAUGGGACAAAGUCAGUUUUUAUCUGACAAAGGUAUCGCAGAGUGCUUUAUUUCUGAUACAGCUUCAACGCACACGGAGAUUGCGCGAAACAGCAUGCCCCCUCUCUGCUGGCCACGCCUCUCCACAGCCUCGGGCCUCACGUCCGGACUGCUGGUGACGACAAAGGCAAAAACGAGGAGCGUGAUGAGCAUUACGCCGGCAUGGCGAAGAGGUACAAAGCAAGGAGCUGGCGGCGGCUCCAUCGUGCGCCGACGAAGCCUGCCAGGAGGAUGAGACCGUCCAGGAUGGACGGGCCACGCGCGCGUAAGCGAACCAGAUCCCCGAGGCUUACGGGGACGGCGCACAUGCCAGUGUCCGCGCGGAUCUGAAUGCUUCCUUCAUGGAUGAUGGAUGAUGUGAUGCUGAAUGUGAGGCUAAGAUACAACCUGAGCUUCGUCAUGGAAGGAAUGGACGGCUACUUGCCAAAUACAAUCCAGUAUGAUUAUCAUCCAUCCUCAGAUGCCUGCUCAUUGUCAUCUUGCAUGUGUACAUGGGACAAAGUCAGUUUUUAUCUGACAAAGGUAUCGCAGAGUGCUUUAUUUCUCAUACAGCUUCAACGCACACGGAGAUUGCGCGAAACAGCAUGCCCCCACUCUGCUGGCCACGCCUCUCCGCAGCCUAGGGCCUCACGUCCGGACCGCUGGUGACGAAAAAGGCAAAAACGAGGAGCGUGAUGAGCAUUACGCCGGCAUGGCGAAGAGGUACAAAGCAAGGAGCUGGCGGCGGCUCCAUCGUGCGCCGACGAAGCCUGCCAGGAGGAUGAGACCGUCCAGGAUGGACGGGCCACGCGCGCGUAAGCGAACCAGAUCCCCGAGGCUUACGAGGACGGCGCACAUGCCAGUGUCCGGUAUGUUGUUUAUCACGGCUCACCCCACCGAUGGCUGGAUGCUCAAGCUGUGCCGCCGCUGCUUUCCAUAUGCUUGUGUUGUUUCUGUGUCUGCUGUGGGUUCAGCGCGGAUCUGAAGGCUUCCUUCAUGGAUGAUGGAUGAUGUGAUGCCGAAUGCGAGGCUAAGAUACAACCUGAGGAGUCCAAUGAUCUGUAUUACCAGCUUCUUCAUGGAAGGAAUGGAUGGCUACUUGCCAAAUAUAAUCCAGGAUGAUUAUCAUGCAUCCUUAGAUGCCUGCUCAUUGUCAGCUUGCAUGUGUACAUGGGACAAAGUCAGUUUUUAUCUGACAAAGGUAUCGCAGAGUGCUUUAUUUCUGAUACAGCUUCAGCGCACACGGAGAUUGGGCGAAACAGCACGCCCCCUCUCUGCUGGCCACGCCUCUCUGCAGCCUCGGGCCUCACCUCCGGACCACUGGUAACGGCAAAGGAAAAAACGAGGAGCAUGAUGAGCAUUACGCCAGCAUGGCGAAGAGGUACAAAGCAAGGAGCUGGCGGCGGCUCCAUCAUGCGCCGACGAAGCCUGCCAGGAGGAUGAGACCGCCCAGGAAGGACGGGUCACGCGCGCGUAAGUGAACCAGAUCCCCGAGGCUUAUGGGGACGGCGCACAUGCCAGUGUCCGGCUUCCUUCAUGGAUGAUGGAUGAUGUGAUGCUGAAUGCGAGGCUAAGAUACAACCUGAGGAGUCCAAUGAUCUGUAUUACCAGCUUCUUCAUGGAAGGAAUGGAUGGCUACUUGCCAAAUAUAAUCCAGGAUGAUUAUCAUGCAUCCUUAGAUGCCUGCUCAUUGUCAGCUUGCAUGUGUACAUGGGACAAAGUCAGUUUUUAUCUGACAAAGGUAUCGCAGAGUGCUUUAUUUCUGAUACAGCUUCAGCGCACACGGAGAUUGGGCGAAACAGCACGCCCCCUCUCUGCUGGCCACGCCUCUCUGCAGCCUCGGGCCUCACCUCCGGACCACUGGUAACGGCAAAGGAAAAAACGAGGAGCAUGAUGAGCAUUACGCCAGCAUGGCGAAGAGGUACAAAGCAAGGAGCUGGCGGCGGCUCCAUCAUGCGCCGACGAAGCCUGCCAGGAGGAUGAGACCGCCCAGGAUGGACGGGCCACGCGCGUGUAAGCGAACCAGAUCCCCGAGGCUUACGGGGACGGCGCACAUGCCAGUGUCCGGUAUGUUGUUUCUCACGGCUCACCCCACCCAUGGCUGGAUGCUCAAGCUGUGGCGCCGCUGCUUUCCAUAUGCUUGUGUUGUUUCUGUGUCUGCUGUGGGUUCAGCACGGAUCUGAAGGCUUCCUUCAUGGAUGAUGGAUGAUGUGAUGCUGAAUGCGAGGCUAACAUACAACCUGAGAGACAUGAGGUACUAAUAACAUUGCCUUCUUGGAGUAAUAAAAUUUAAAAAAAGGAGUUCAAUGAUCUGUAUUACCAGCUUCGUCAUGGAAGGAAUGGACGGCUACUUGCCAAAUAUAAUCCAGGAUGAUUAUCAUGCAUCCUCAGAUGCCUGCUCAUUGCCAGCUUGCAUGUAUACAUGGGACAAAGUUAGUUUUUAUCUGACAAAGGUAUCGCAGAGUGCUUUAUUUGUGAUACAGCUUCAGCGCACACGGAGAUUGGGCGAAACAGCAUGCCCCCCCCCUCUGCUGGCCACGCCUCUCCGCAGCCUCGGGCCUCACCUCCGGACCGCUGGUGACGGCAAAGGCAAAAACGAGGAUCAUGAUGAGCAUUACGCCGGCAUGGCGAAAAGGUACAAAGCAAGGAGCUGGCGGCGGCUCCAUCAUGCGCCGACGAAGCCUGCCAGGAGGAUGAGACCGCCCAGGAAGGACGGGUCACGCGCGCGUAAGUGAACCAGAUCCCCGAGGCUUAUGGGGACGGCGCACAUGCCAGUGUCCGGCUUCCUUCAUGGAUGAUGGAUGAUGUGAUGCUGAAUGCGAGGCUAAGAUACAACCUGAGCUUCGUCAUGGAAGGAAUGGACGGCUACUUGCCAAAUAUAAUCCAGGAUGAUUAUCAUGCAUCCUCAGAUGCCUGCUCAUUGCCAGCUUGCAUGUAUACAUGGGACAAAGUUAGUUUUUAUCUGACAAAGGUAUCGCAGAGUGCUUUAUUUGUGAUACAGCUUCAGCGCACACGGAGAUUGGGCGAAACAGCAUGCCCCCCCUCUGCUGGCCACGCCUCUCCGCAGCCUCGGGCCUCACCUCCGGACCGCUGGUGACGGCAAAGGCAAAAACGAGGAUCAUGAUGAGCAUUACGCCGGCAUGGCGAAAAGGUACAAAGCAAGGAGCUGGCGGCGGCUCCAUCAUGCGCCGACGAAGCCUGCCAGGAGGAUGAGACCGCCCAGGAAGGACGGGUCACGCGCGCGUAAGUGAACCAGAUCCCCGAGGCUUAUGGGGACGGCGCACAUGCCAGUGUCCGGCUUCCUUCAUGGAUGAUGGAUGAUGUGAUGCUGAAUGCGAGGCUAAGAUACAACCUGAGGAGUCCAAUGAUCUGUAUUACCAGCUUCUUCAUGGAAGGAAUGGAUGGCUACUUGCCAAAUAUAAUCCAGGAUGAUUAUCAUGCAUCCUUAGAUGCCUGCUCAUUGUCAGCUUGCAUGUGUACAUGGGACAAAGUCAGUUUUUAUCUGACAAAGGUAUCGCAGAGUGCUUUAUUUCUGAUACAGCUUCAGCGCACACGGAGAUUGGGCGAAACAGCACGCCCCCUCUCUGCUGGCCACGCCUCUCUGCAGCCUCGGGCCUCACCUCCGGACCACUGGUAACGGCAAAGGAAAAAACGAGGAGCAUGAUGAGCAUUACGCCAGCAUGGCGAAGAGGUACAAAGCAAGGAGCUGGCGGCGGCUCCAUCAUGCGCCGACGAAGCCUGCCAGGAGGAUGAGACCGCCCAGGAUGGACGGGCCACGCGCGUGUAAGCGAACCAGAUCCCCGAGGCUUACGGGGACGGCGCACAUGCCAGUGUCCGGUAUGUUGUUUCUCACGGCUCACCCCACCCAUGGCUGGAUGCUCAAGCUGUGGCGCCGCUGCUUUCCAUAUGCUUGUGUUGUUUCUGUGUCUGCUGUGGGUUCAGCACGGAUCUGAAGGCUUCCUUCAUGGAUGAUGGAUGAUGUGAUGCUGAAUGCGAGGCUAACAUACAACCUGAGAGACAUGAGGUACUAAUAACAUUGCCUUCUUGGAGUAAUAAAAUUUAAAAAAAGGAGUUCAAUGAUCUGUAUUACCAGCUUCGUCAUGGAAGGAAUGGACGGCUACUUGCCAAAUAUAAUCCAGGAUGAUUAUCAUGCAUCCUCAGAUGCCUGCUCAUUGCCAGCUUGCAUGUAUACAUGGGACAAAGUUAGUUUUUAUCUGACAAAGGUAUCGCAGAGUGCUUUAUUUGUGAUACAGCUUCAGCGCACACGGAGAUUGGGCGAAACAGCAUGCCCCCCCUCUGCUGGCCACGCCUCUCCGCAGCCUCGGGCCUCACCUCCGGACCGCUGGUGACGGCAAAGGCAAAAACGAGGAUCAUGAUGAGCAUUACGCCGGCAUGGCGAAAAGGUACAAAGCAAGGAGCUGGCGGCGGCUCCAUCAUGCGCCGACGAAGCCUGCCAGGAGGAUGAGACCGCCCAGGAAGGACGGGUCACGCGCGCGUAAGUGAACCAGAUCCCCGAGGCUUAUGGGGACGGCGCACAUGCCAGUGUCCGGCUUCCUUCAUGGAUGAUGGAUGAUGUGAUGCUGAAUGCGAGGCUAAGAUACAACCUGAGGUACAGGAGCUAUUUAUACAUUGUCACUUCCCAGUCAGUCAUUGCAGUCAUUAAUCUUGUUUUAGUCUUCCAUUAUCUAGAGACAUGAGCUACUAAUAAACUUGCCUUCUUGGAGUAAUAUUGUUUUAAAAAAAGGAGGUCAAUGAUCUAUAUUACCAGCUUCGUCAUGGAAGGAAUGGACGGCUACUUGCCAAAUACAAUCCAGUAUGAUUAUCAUCCAUCCUCAGAUGCCUGCUCAUUGUCAUCUUGCAUCUGUACAUGGGACAAAUCAGUUUUUAUCUGACAAAGGUAUCGCAGAGUGCUUUAUUUCUCAUACAGCUUCAACGCACACGGAGAUUGCGCGAAACAGCAUGCCCCC